rnacentral:rRNA from 1 species
AUUGAACGCUGGCGGCAGGCUUAACACAUGCAAGUCGAGCGGAGUGAUGGUGCUUGCACUAUCACUUAGCGGCGGACGGGUGAGUAAUGCUUAGGAAUCUGCCUAUUAGUGGGGGACAACAUCGCGAAAGGGAUGCUAAUACCGCAUACGUCCUACGGGAGAAAGCAGGGGAUCACUUGUGACCUUGCGCUAAUAGAUGAGCCUAAGGCGGAUUAGCUAGUUGGUGGGGUAAAGGCCUACCAAGGCGACGAUCUGUAGCGGGUCUGAGAGGAUGAUCCGCCACACUGGGACUGAGACACGGCCCAGACUCCUACGGGAGGCAGCAGUGGGGAAUAUUGGACAAUGGGGGGAACCCUGAUCCAGCCAUGCCGCGUGUGUGAAGAAGGCCUUAUGGUUGUAAAGCACUUUAAGCGAGGAGGAGGCCCUUUUGGUUAAUACCCAAGAUGAGUGGACGUUACUCGCAGAAUAAGCACCGGCUAACUCUGUGCCAGCCGCCGCGGUAA